rnacentral:rRNA from 1 species
GACGAACGCUGGCGGCGUGCCUAAUACAUGCAAGUAGGACGCAGUUGCGAACGGGUGAGUAACGCGUAGGUAACUACCUAUUAGAGGGGGAUAACUAUUGGAAACGAUAGCUAAUACCGCAUACUAGUAGAUGGACCUGCGUUGUAUUAGCUAGUAGGUAGGGUAAUGGGCUACCUAGGCAACGAUACAUGGCCGACCGGGAGGGGUGAUCGGGCACAAUGAGACGUGGACAGGGCCCAGAGUCCUACGGGAGGCAGCAGUAAGGAGACUUCGGCAAUGGGGGGAACCCUGACCGAGAAACGCCGCGUGAGUGAAGAAGGUUUUCGGUUCGUAAAGCUCUGUUGUUAAGGAAGCGGUACUUAACCAGAAAGGGACGGCUAACUACGUGCCAGCCGCCGCGGUAAUAC